rnacentral:rRNA from 1 species
UCUUCCGCACGGGACGAAAGUCUGACGGAGCAACGCCGCGUGAGUGAUGAAGGUUUUCGGAUCGUAAAACUCUGCUGUUCGGGAAGAACAAGUACCGUUCGAAUAGGGCGGUACCUUGACGGUACCUAACCAGAAAGCCACGGCUAACUACGUGCCAGCAGCCGCGGUAGUACGUAGGUGGCAAGCGUUGUCCGGAAUUAUUGGGCGUAAAGCGCGAGCAGGCGGUUCCUUAAGUCUGAUGUGAAAGCCCCCGGCUCAACCGGGGAGGGUCAUUGGAAACUGGGGAACUUGAGUGCAGAAGAGGAGAGUGGAAUUCCACGUGUAGCGGUGAAAUGCGUAGAGAUGUGGAGGAACACCAGUGGCGAAGGCGACUCUCUGGUCUGUAACUGACGCUGAGGUGCGAAAGCGUGGGGAGCGAACAG